rnacentral:rRNA from 1 species
AUUGAACGCUGGCGGCAGGCUUAACACAUGCAAGUCGAGCGGGGGGAGGUAGCUUGCUACCGGACCUAGCGGCGGACGGGUGAGUAAUGCUUAGGAAUCUGCCUAUUAGUGGGGGACAACAUCUCGAAAGGGAUGCUAAUACCGCAUACGUCCUACGGGAGAAAGCAGGGGAUCUUCGGACCUUGCGCUAAUAGAUGAGCCUAAGUCGGAUUAGCUAGUUGGUGGGGUAAAGGCCUACCAAGGCGACGAUCUGUAGCGGGUCUGAGAGGAUGAUCCGCCACACUGGGACUGAGACACGGCCCAGACUCCUACGGGAGGCAGCAGUGGGGAAUAUUGGACAAUGGGGGGAACCCUGAUCCAGCCAUGCCGCGUGUGUGAAGAAGGCCUUAUGGUUGUAAAGCACUUUAAGCGAGGAGGAAGCUACUUUAGUUAAUACCUAGAGAUAGUGGGCGUUACUCGCAGAAUAAGCACCGGCUAACUCUGUGCCAGCCGCCGCUGUAA